rnacentral:rRNA from 1 species
CCUACGGGAGGCUGCAGUGGGGAAUAUUGCACAAUGGGGGAAACCCUGAUGCAGCAACGCCGCGUGAGCGAUGAAGGCCUUCGGGUCGUAAAGCUCUGUCCUAAGGGAAGAAUACUGACGGUACCUUAGGAGGAAGCCCCGGCUAACUACGUGCCAGCAGCCGCGGUAAUACGUAGGGGGCAAGCGUUAUCCGGAAUUACUGGGAGUAAAGGGUGCGUAGGCGGCCAUGCAAGUCAGAGGUGAAAGGCUACGGCUUAACCGUAGUAAGUCUUUGAAACUGUAGGGCUUGAGUGCAGGAGAGGGGAGUGGAAUGCACAGUGUAGCGGUGAAUUGCGUAGGUCUUGGGUGGAACAUCAGUUGCGAAGGAUGCUCUCUGGACUGUAACUGACGCUGAGGCACGAAAGCGUGGGGAGCGAACAGGAUUAGAUUCCCGAGUAGUC